AUGAACGCUGGCGGCGUGCCUAAUACAUGCAAGUCGAGCGAACAGACGAGGAGCUUGCUCCUCUGACGUUAGCGGCGGACGGGUGAGUAACACGUGGAUAACCUACCUAUAAGACUGGGAUAACUUCGGGAAACCGGAGCUAAUACCGGAUAAUAUAUUGAACCGCAUGGUUCAAUAGUGAAAGACGGUUUUGCUGUCACUUAUAGAUGGAUCCGCGCCGCAUUAGCUAGUUGGUAAGGUAACGGCUUACCAAGGCAACGAUGCGUAGCCGACCUGAGAAGGUGAUCGGCCACACUGGAACUGAGACACGGUCCAGACUCCUACGGGAGGCAGCAGUAGGGAAUCUUCCGCAAUGGGCGAAAGCCUGACGGAGCAACGCCGCGUGAGUGAUGAAGGUCUUCGGAUCGUAAAACUCUGUUAUUAGGGAAGAACAAAUGUGUAAGUAACUAUGCACGUCUUGACGGUACCUAAUCAGAAAGCCACGGCUAACUACGUG
rnacentral:rRNA from 1 species